GACGAACGCUGGCGGCGUGCUUAACACAUGCAAGUCGAACGAAGUGGCGAACGGGUGAGUAACGCGUAAUCAACCUGCACUUCCGAGGGGGACAACAGUUGGAAACGACUGCUAAUACCGCAUACUGAAGGAGGGGAUUGCGUCUGAUUAGCUAGGUGGAGGGGUAACGGCCAAACAAGGCGAUGAACAGUAGCCGGUCUGGGAGGGUGAACGGCCACAGUGGGACUGAGAGACGGGCCCGACUCCCACAGGAGGGAGCAGUGGGGAAUCUUCCGCAAUGGACGAAAGUCUGACGGAGCAACGCCGCGUGAGUGAUGACGGCCUUCGGGUUGUAAAGCUCUGUUAAUCGGGACGCGGUACCGGAAUAGAAAGCCACGGCUAACUACGUGCCAGCAGCCGCGGUAAUUC
rnacentral:rRNA from 1 species